AGUGAACGCUGGCGGUAGGCCUAACACAUGCAAGUCGAACGGCAGCACAGUAAGAGCUUGCUCUUACGGGUGGCGAGUGGCGGACGGGUGAGGAAUACAUCGGAAUCUACUUUUUCGUGGGGGAUAAUGUAGGGAAACUUACGCUAAUACCGCAUACGACCUACGGGUGAAAGCAGGGGAUCUUCGGACCUUGCGCGAUUGAAUGAGCCGAUGUCGGAUUAGCUAGUUGGCGGGGUAAAGACCCACCAAGGCGACGAUCCGUAGCUGGUCUGAGAGGAUGAUCAGCCACACUGGAACUGAGACACGGUCCAGACUCCUACGGGAGGCAGCAGUGGGGAAUAUUGGACAAAGGGCGCAAGCCUGAUCCAGCCAUACCGCGUGGGUGAAGAAGGCCUUCGGGUUGUAAAGCCCUUUUGUUGGGAAAGAAAAGCAGCAGGUUAAUACCCCGCUGUUCUGACGGUACCCAAAGAAUAAGCACCGGCUAACUUCGUG
rnacentral:rRNA from 1 species